UCUAAGCAUUCGAUGUAGUAUGUGGUUAUGUCCGUAUGAAGUUUUAUGAGCUGGGAUAUAGAAUUGAGACUGGGUUUUAGAUGAAUGGCUCGGGAUUCUGAAAGGUAUGGAUGAAAGAAGAUCAGGCACAUCAAGUGAGCCAUUUAAUAGGGCAGAUAGGAAUUCUAAAUCCGCAUUAUCACGGUGAGAAGAUAAUGUUUGAAUAUUCAGAACCUGCCUUAUAUUGGUCGUGGG